rnacentral:rRNA from 1 species
UACGUAGGGUGCGAACGUUGUUCGGAAUCACUGGGCAUAAAGGGCGUGUAGGCGGUCGUACAAGUCAGAUGUGAAAGCCCCCGGCCUAACCGGGGAACUGCAUUUGAUACUGUGCGGCUAGAGUGCAGGAGGGGAGAGUGGAAUUCCUGGUGGAGCGGUGAAAUGCGUAGAUAUCAGGAGGAACGCCGGUGGCGAAAGCGACUCUCUGGCCUGCAACUGACGCUGAGGCGCGAAAGCUAGGGGAGCAAACGGG